AGAAUCAACGCUGGCGGCGUGCCUAACACAUGCAAGUCGAACGAGAAAGUGGAGCAAUCCAUGAGUAAAGUGGCGCACGGGUGAGUAACACGUGAAUAAUCUACCUCCGAGUGGGGAAUAACUGAGAGAAAUCUUAGCUAAUACCGCAUAACACUUACGAGUCAAAGCAGCAAUGCGCUUGGAGAGGAGUUCGCGGCAGAUUAGUUAGUUGGCGGGGUAAUGGCCCACCAAGACGAUGAUCUGUA
rnacentral:rRNA from 1 species